GGGAAGGUGGCUCAGUGGUAGAGUGCUUGCCUUGCAUGCAUGAGGCCUUGGGUUCAACUCCUCAGCACCUCA
rfam:Dipodomys ordii contig_30934, whole genome shotgun sequence.